GGUGAGGUGAACAGCAUCCGAUGUCGUCCUCAUGUUUGUAGUCGUCAGAUCCUGCUGAGCCAGUCGAUCUGCGCCAUAUGACCAAUAAAUCAGAGGAGAGGAAUCGCAGGCAGCUUUUUGGCGACACAUCAGCAGUUACCGAUCCAGAUGUUUUGUGAAAAAUCUCAAUUACCAGUCGAUCUGCGCCAUAUGACCAAUAAAUCAGAGGAGAGGAAACACAGGCAGCAUAUUGGCGACAUAUCAGCAGUUACCAAUCCAGAGGUUUUGUCAAAAAAAUCUUAUUGUUUCCAAUUUUUUAUUCUCAUGAAUAAUUCUGUAAGGUGUUACCAACCAGACAACCACAGAUUGCCUACAUGCAACUAUUUACAUGUGGUGGCUAAUUUUAUUCGCCUUAAUUCAGUUCAUAUGUACACAGUUCCCUUGCAUGCUCUAAACAUUGC
rnacentral:lncRNA from 1 species